AUUGAACGCUGGCGGCAUGCCUUACACAUGCAAGUCGAACGGCAGCACGGGAGCUUGCUCCUGGUGGCGAGUGGCGAACGGGUGAGUAAUACAUCGGAACGUACCCUGAAGUGGGGGAUAACGUAGCGAAAGUUACGCUAAUACCGCAUAUUCUGUGAGCAGGAAAGAGGGGGAUCGCAAGACCUCUUGCUUUAGGAGCGGCCGAUGUCGGAUUAGCUAGUUGGUGAGGUAAAGGCUCACCAAGGCGACGAUCCGUAGCGGGUCUGAGAGGAUGAUCCGCCACACUGGGACUGAGACACGGCCCAGACUCCUACGGGAGGCAGCAGUGGGGGAAUUUUUGGGACAAUGGGCGCAAGCCUGAUCCAGCCAUGCCGCGUGAGUGAAGAAGGCCUCGGUUGGUAAG
rnacentral:rRNA from 1 species